rnacentral:rRNA from 1 species
AACAAACGCUGGCGGCGUGCCUAAUACAUGCAAGUCGAACGGGGAAAGCUUUCGGGUGAGUACUAGUGGCGCACGGGUGAGGAACGCGUGGAUAAUCUGCCUUAGAGUGGGGGAUAACUAGUCGAAAGAUUAGCUAAUACCGCAUAAGACCACAGGAGCUGCGGCUCAAGGGGUCAAAGGUUUUUCGCUCUAAGAUGAGUCCGCGUAAGAUUAGCUAGUUGGUGAGGUAACGGCUCACCAAGGCGACGAUCUUUAACAGGUCUGAGAGGAUGAUAAGUCACACUGGAACUGAGACACGGUCCAGACUCCUACGGGAGGCAGCAGUAGGGAAUAUUGCACAAUGGAGGAAACUCUGAUGCAGCGACGCCGCGUGAGUGAUGAAGGCCUUCGGGUCGUAAAGCUCUGUCGCAGGGGAAUAACACAAUGAAUGUACCCUGCAAGAAAGGAUCGGCUAACUUCGUGCCAGCCGCCGCCGUAACAC